GUGGCGCUUCUGUUUUUGUCUGUACUUCAGUGGUGCAGUUCAGUCUCUGCACUACCGGGGUGCAGGAAGCAGUUUUGUGACUGAUGGAAACCAAGCACUGUGUAGAGAGCAAUACUUAGGAUGUGGAUACAAGAGAGAAUGUUAUGUUACAAGUUUUAAGAAUUUCAUGACACAAUCAACUUACCAAGCUGUCCUAGAGAAACAAACUCUAGCAUAAAAUGUAAGUACUGUAGAGACAGUUCCAUUUCUGCCAAAGGUGAGCAACACUGUCAAGUUCAAAAGUGAAUUGGCAGUCACUCUGGUUUUACACUGCAUUUAAGAGAAUAAUAGUUUCAUAUGCCAG
rnacentral:lncRNA from 1 species